AAGAUAGCAAUAUACGUCUCGUCUGCCGGGAAAGCCACACGAAGAAGAGUCGAAACGGAAGUGAACACUAAGAACAUUUUCCACGUUAGCGUUUUUGUUGUUAUUUAGAUUUUAUUCAUUAUUAACACACUGGAAUACAAAAUAUGAAUAAUUUAACUGCACAGCAUCACAUACUUACGACAUGUAGUCUUUAAUUCGCUUUGGAGACAUGACUUGGUUGAUAGGUGUUAUCUAGGUAACGCUAGCUAGCUAGCUGCUAACAAUGGCUAACUGUAUGGUUUUUCAAACUCAAAUAGCCUCCAUCAUGGAGGUGCUAGCGAAUGCAGCCGUGGCAGAGAUCUGUAAACUUGUCGACGACGACUAUGCAGUGUUUCGUUUGGAAAUAACUCAAAGCCAGAAAGAAAACAGGGGAUUGCGGAGGAAACUACAGCUACUGGAACUGAAGGUGGCACGGGAGCGCGUCCUCGCCAUUCGACCCAGUAGUGUCAAGAUCCUCGACAAAUACAGAGGAAUGUCAAGAGGUGAAGGACAUCUCACUGGAGGCCACAGGAGCUUUGUGAAGCCUGUGGGACACAAUACAUGGAGAGAUGACCAACCAAUCACUGUUGAUGAGGGGAGUGGAACCUUAACCCAGCACAUUAUCAUGAUAGAGUCUGCAGAUGCAGAGGCUGCAGGUCCUGGGGUCAAGCAGGAGAGGUCUGAAGGAGAGGAGGACCCACAGCAUAGCAGAGACAUCCAGACUGGUGCGGCUAGAGAGCCCCCUGUAGCCACGGAUGAACCCACCACUGCCUCAGUGCAGCCCAGGACCCAACGAAGCGGCACGGAGGAGGAGGGGUGUGAGGAGGGUCUGGGGAACCCUGAGGGGACCAUGGACAUGGAGGACAACCAGCCUACACCUCCUCCUGAACCCACAGAGGACCCAGCUGCGCAACACAGGACCACACACAGUCUCACUGAGUCAGUAGACAUGGAGGAUGGGAAGCCUCAUCUGCUGCAGGUCAAAGAGGAGACAAUAGAAGACGGACCAGAGAGCAUUGAUCUGCUGAGUGGACUAAAGAUGGGGGAGCAAGGUGGGUGGCUGGAGGCUAACAGAGGAGACUGGGCAGUCAUCUUGGAUUCCCAGACCGGUGCAGCCAAGGACCCAGGGGACAACAUCACUGAGCAAGACAGGACCAGCGGCGAUAUAGUGGAGGUCAGUGGAUGGAACAGCGUCCUCAACUCUGGGCUGGGGAACAACACUGUUAACCAGAAACAGACAGUUGAUCACAAAACAACAUCCAAACUCAGUCUCCAUGACAACAGACUGGCUGAGACCAGGACAAGGCGUAGAUUCCAUCCAGGACAGGGAGGUGUCCGUAUGCGGCGGGAGAGAACAGGCGCUGCUCCUAUAGUUGUGAUUCAGAGAGACUGAUGGAGCCUCUGGUUAACCCACUAACACAGUGGUCACUAACCUUUUCUGAGUAAAGAUCACUUUCUGAGUCAAAAUGCAAGCUUAUGCAAAAUGAACCUAUUAAAAACUGUACUGUAGCAAUGAGGUUUGUGAAGUAGGCUAUAGGCCCAAUACAUUAUCACCGCAUAUUGGCUUUUCUUGACUUUCCCUGCCAAUACAUUGUUUGAAAAAUGUGUAAAAAAUUAUAUUUCAACAUUUGAGAUAGGCUAUAUGAUCACACCGGUAAUAGAUCAGUUGUUGUAUUACUUGUGAGGCACAGCUGAGUGAGCAUACAUUAAAAUAGUUUAUUUUUAUUUUACUGGGCUGAUGGUGCCUGCAUCUGAUGGUCAGUCUCAGCUGAGGGACAGAGCAGCUAAUGGGCUCUGCCUCCCAGUGUCCUGCCACUCACUCUUUCCGCUGCUGUCACUGACUAAAAAGGUCUGGAGUCGCACCCCAUUAUGUCUGCCUCAUGCAGAUGUUGUUACUCCUAUGAACAGAGAAGGUGAAAUAUUCUUCGAUAAAACAAAAACAACAACGCAAUAACAACAACAACGCAAGCCUACCACACUUUCCUACUCCUUCAUUACAACUACAGUGCUGGUUGUAGUGCCAGUGGAAGUAGGACGAAUGUGCAUUUUAUGGCUUAUAAAAGUGUUGAAUACAAAGUGUUGACAGUUCUGAGUAAGAACUUAAACAUGAAUUCACUCAUAUAAACAGCAGCUCUUUGCUGUAUUCGUUGACAGUCUUUCUCUAGUCAUGGUUUUAAACGUUUUGAAAUCUCACAGUAUCAACUUGGCUGUAGCUUUCUUUUAAAGCUUGCUACGUUACAGUAGACACAGUAAUCUGAGCCGUCCGAUUGGCUGGAGGUAGGCCUAUAGUGCUCUGGAUUUGCUCUCCGGGCCUGCCGGGAUAGCAGAGUUGACCCAUUUCAUGUGUCUGAAGGUACAGUGGGAACACAGCUGAAUCAGUUGCACCUACCACCAACAGCGCGAGACGAAUACAAAUAAAUAGGAACGCAAAGCUUUAUCAUUGGGUUUUUUACAGAAAUGUUUGCCGAUCGACCAGUUGGUGACCACUGCCCUAACAGGUGCCGCCUUCAGCCUGCCUUUAUAUAGGAUCUAUCAACUGGAACAUGGACCCUGCGACAACACAGACACUCCCUGGCCUUCAUCCUCCUCACACUCUCCUAAUGUUAAACCAGACCUCAGACAAUGCCAGUGCCUCAACACUAAAUGGCUACACAAACCUAUUGACAAUAGUAGUAACGCUAUCAGUAGAUCCAGUGGCCAUAAUAAGCACUUCCUGUGUUUGUUCUGUGGGAAAGCCUUCAGUUUCCCCAAACAGGUGGAGAUCUACCAGAAGAUACACACGGGGGGAAAUCUGUUUGGUUGCCAUCUGUCCCAAGCAAGUUUCUCUCACUCGUCCAAGCUGAACAGGCACCACACAGGUGAGAAACCCUACAGUGAGAAGAGCUUCUCCCACCAGCACCAACUGAAGAUGUGCCUGUAUGCACUGCAGGAAGAGGUUCUCAGAGAGGAGCUACCUUAGUCUUUGUAGUUAAUUCUGUUGGUUUCGGAUGUAGUGGGGAACUAGAUGAGGUGAACUGAGGAAAGAAUAAGUAUGAUGAGGCAGAUAAUAUUAUAUGGUGAUGGUUGGUGUUAUGCUGUCUGUAAAAAUGCUUUACUGAUGAAAAGUGUCAACUAUAUCCCUUUAGCUCAGGGGUGGGCAAUUACAGUCCUCGAGGACCUGUUUGGUUUCUCAGUUUUGCCCCAGCUAACACACCUGACUCCAAUAAUCACCUAAUCAUGAUCUUCAUUUUAGAAUGCAAUUUGAUUAAUCAUCUGUGUUUGCUAGUGAUGGAGAAAAAGUGUGACACCAAUCAGGCCCUCGAGGACUGGAGUUGCCCAUCCCUGCUUUAGCUUUUAUAGUGAGUCUGCAGUCCAUGAAGACCUGCUGAUAUCAGGUGUUGCUGGCGGGAGAGACUGGAACUUUGAGGCGGCUUGUCACAAACCCUGGCCCUGGAUCAGAACCCUGGAUCAGGAACCAUCGCGCUU